rnacentral:rRNA from 1 species
AUUGAACGCUGGCGGCAUGCCUUACACAUGCAAGUCGAACGGCAGCACGGAGCUUGCUCUGGUGGCGAGUGGCGAACGGGUGAGUAAUAUAUCGGAACGUACCCUGGAGUGGGGGAUAACGUAGCGAAAGUUACGCUAAUACCGCAUACGAUCUACGGAUGAAAGUGGGGGAUCGCAAGACCUCAUGCUCGUGGAGCGGCCGAUAUCUGAUUAGCUAGUUGGUAGGGUAAAAGCCUACCAAGGCAUCGACCAGUAGCUGGUCUGAGAGGACGACCAGCCACACUGGAACUGAGACACGGUCCAGACUCCUACGGGAGGCAGCAGUGGGGAAUUUUGGACAAUGGGCGAAAGCCUGAUCCAGCAAUGCCGCGUGAGUGAAGAAGGCCUUCGGGUUGUAAAGCUCUUUUGUCAGGGAAGAAACGGUGAGAGCUAAUACCUCUUGCUAAUGACGGUACCUGAAGAAUAGCACCGGCUAA